CACCGGUAAUAGAAGUAAACAGUAGAAACCAAAAUGGCGGACAGUGACCUUCUUCUGUGAUGGAUUAAAAUGAGUUUUCGUUGAAAUAUAAGCUAUGCUGUUUAUAGAUGCAGGUGUCAGUUAGCAGCAAUAGAUUAUUCAAAACACUUGAAUCGUCCUGUUAAGAAGGAAAUGAGAGAAAAAGAGUGUACUCAAAAGCUGCUGGUAAUUGGAGCACAAGACCUGUGAAAAAACAUACAUAACCCGUUUGAUCACUGAAGUUAUAAAUGGAUUCACCAUAGGCAAGAAAGGAAUAAGUGGCAAAUGUGAACAGCUGCCUGAAGACCCCAAAAGAAUUAGAUCAACUAUAGUCCCUGCCACCCCUCCACCUACAUCAAUACUUAAAGAUCAGCAUGUAUCUAGAUUGAGAAAAGCGAAAAACAUGAAUUGUUGCCCAAGACGUGUUUGAUAUUCAUUUGAAGUUGAACGCAGAAGUUAUCUUUGUUAGAUAACUAUUAAGUUUCACAUCUUUAAUGUUUAUAUAAUUUUAGAAGUGUUUUGAAAAUGUACAAUCUUAUAUUAUGGUAUAAAUAAUGAAUGCUCUUGGUUGUACAAUGCAAUGACAUUUUUCAGGAAGUUUUAAUAUUGAAUUUAGCAUAAUUGUAUUUUUUUAUUUUUUAUAUAUUUUGUGCGAUCUUUGUCAAUACAUUUUU